rnacentral:tRNA from 1 species
GAGGGUAUAGCUCUGUGGUAGAGUGCAUGCCUAGCAUUCAUGAGGUCCUGGGUUCAAUUCCCAGUACCCUUG